GAUUUUUUCCACUUGGGUUUUUAGAAUGACAGGCCCAAGUCUUUUGGACCAGAUGGAGGAGCUGGAAAUUGCAAUAAACAAUUUUCAAAAUUUAUUCAAGUGUGAAGUUUGUUUUGAAGACCUUCAAGAUCCUGUUAGAACUCGGUGCGGUCACAUGUUUUCUUCAAUGCGCUUCAAGAGAGUUCACACAAUUAGAACUCGUAGCUACAACGUCGUGUCAGGAACUAACAGCAGAGACGACCCAAGAUCGCAGUCACUGGUGACUUAGAUCCAGGAGAGCCGACCCCAAAUAAUGGGGAAAAAGGCAAGGGAGAAGAAGAGUAGUUACAACGUCCUGUCCUUGUCAUAUGGGACUGAAAUAUCAUGAAGACAACACUUCCUCACUUUUCAUGGGACACCUUAUUUCAGCAUUUAUAGAAUACGCCGGAAUAGACUGAAUUGAUCAUUCUGUGCGGAGGUAGCCUUAUGUAGUGGAUCAAAUUUUCGAUUUACUUUAUCAACUGCACGCUCGUAUUCUACUCACAGAUGGAGAACUAGAAGCUGCAAAGAUUUGUAAAC